rnacentral:rRNA from 1 species
UUGGUAGCGAAGCUAACGCGAGAAGUUGACCGCCUGGGGAGUACGGCCGCAAGGUUAAAACUCAAAGGAAUUGACGGGGACCCGCACAAGCGGUGGAUGAUGUGGAUUAAUUCGAUGCAACGCGAAAAACCUUACCUGGUCUUGACAUGUAACGAACGCUGCAGAGAUGUGGCGGUGCCCGAAAGGGAGCGUUAACACAGGUGCUGCAUGGCUGUCGUCAGCUCGUGUCGUGAGAUGUUGGGUUAAGUCCCGCAACGAGCGCAACCCUUGCCAUUAGUUGCCAUCAUUAAGUUGGGCACUCUAAUGGGACUGCCGGUGACAAACCGGAGGAAGGUGGGGAUGACGUCAAGUCCUCAUGGCCCUUAUGACCAGGGCUUCACACGUCAUACAAUGGUCGGUACAGAGGGUCGCGAAGCCGCGAGGUGGAGCCAAUCUCAUAAAACCGAUCGUAGUCCGGAUCGCACUCUGCAACUCGAGUGCGUGAAGUCGGAAUCGCUAGU